AUCAGUUAAAGCUUAGAUAUUUGUCUCCAUGUGCAGAAUAAACAAUGAGCACACCAGUGGGAGACAGUGAACAGAACAGCUCCGUCAAACGUGGCUGAUAACACAGCUCUGCUGUUAUCCUGUGGCUGAAGCUGCUCACAGCCCUGACUAUGCAAUGACUGAUCCAGAUGAUAGCCUUUUCAGCAGUGUGGGAACCAAGCAGCUCCAACCAGUGACAGGGAAACCACGUCAGACCAUGAGUGGUACCGUUCCUGCAGUGAAUGUGCUGAGCAGCAGCCUGCCAGUUACUAUCUGCAAACCAGAAAAUCUCACAGUUCUUUAAGAAACUGCCGAAAUAAAACUCUGAUUGAGAAGAACAAAAGGGACAAGAAUAAACAGGAAUGAGAAUUCCUUCAAUGUGUUCUUACAGGACAUGGAACCACAGGCUAAUAGUAUGCAGAGGCAUUUUUUUCUAAAAAAAGAAAGCCUAAUUUGACGAACUUGCAAGUAACUCAAGAGCUGCUGUUCCUGUCCCCUCAGUUGAGUGACUGUGUCAUCAAAGGGCUUUUUGCAUCCAUAGCAUCCAACAAACUAGCUUGAAAGUCUCAGGAAUUUAGAUAGCAUCCUCUUCUUGGGUGUUGAGUGGGGCCUGCUGGAUGUGAUACCACGCUUUGUUCAUUGGUAAGCUAAAGAUCCUCUUCUCUGUGUAAGUGUGUGUGUGAAAGACAGAGUAUCUGUGUCAGAAUAGAUGAUCUCAGCUUAAUUGCAUUGCCUAAUCAUCCCAUACAGGCUUAUUUCAUUUAUUCUGUCUGACACAGUGAGUCUCUAAGAAACACAAACAAUACAAGAAUAAAUAAACCCAAAUAGUAAUCAUUCCUGCCAUCGUAAGUGUUGAAUGUUGCGGACAACGUAGAUGAAAAUGCUGACAGGUGAUGCGGGGAGAAUUGGAAAAGGAAAUACAUCUCCAUUAGUAUCAUAUCUCUAUUGUAAAUGAUUUUGGACAAAGGAAUAUUUAUUCCUUAGAGCUCACAUAUCUGAAAAGCAUUGGAAUUAUGUUUGAAAUGAGGGGAACUAGACAGGCAUUCAGUACUUAGAGUACUUAGAAAAUACUUAGAGUAUUUUCAAAGGAGAGAAUAGUCCUGUCUCUGUCUUGAUGGUGGAGUAUGAUCAGAAAACCCAGGAUUAAUCCCCUGGGGCACUCAGGCUUCUUAUGAUAGAGUGGAUGAGCUAACAACUACCUUCUAAAUUCCUGACUGUGUUACAAACAGAAAACUUACUGAACCUCUGCUCUCAGAAUAGUCCCUUCGCUCACUUUUUCACCCAGGUUGUGUGUAUGAAAUACAUUUGUGCAGGACAGUAAGGACUUCUUGGCAAAUAUGUCACACAUACCUUAGUAUGGAGACUGCUGCCAUUAGAAUGACUUAGGAAACAGAUCUGGACUCCUCACUUAGCACUUACAGGAACUUAAUCUCUCAGUCACAACCCAGAUGUGCAAUUUCUCUUCCUGGGCAGCAGGAGAUCUCAAAUACAUUUGUUUUCAGUGCUGCCCCUCUCUAUGGUUUGCUUGCUUGCACUCGUCACACUCUAAAUGUCUAACUGUGGGCAUUUUUACAAAUGUUCGUGGCUUAUACUUGAACAGCAUCUCAGGGUUUGUUACUGCGUAGAAGAACAGGAUUAAAGUCAGGUGGCAAAGAAUGGGAUUUCCAAAGCCUUCAAAACUGACAUAGACAUGAAUGAGAGGUAGGCUGGGACAAAAGGGGAAGGGAUACCAUAGACUGUCACUUCUAAAAAAGUAUUUAAUGUGGUGGAGUGUGAUGAUGACUCAGAAACAGAACAAAUGCUUUAGAUGCAGGAAAGAAGAAAAGGAUGCACUUGACUGCUUUUUUAAGACUGCUUGCAAGUGAGACAAUAAUUCUUUCCCAACCAAAGUGACAAUCAGCUGAUAUCCUGAAGCAGAAUUGAUUAUUCAGCUUACCAAACACAAUGUAAGUUGUCACCCAAUUACACUAAAUUGUUAUAACAAUGUAUUAUUUUCAUCGCCAUGCUGUAGAGCCUUAGUGACAGAUCAGAAUCCAAUUUUCAGUGCCUCAACACAG